rnacentral:rRNA from 1 species
AUUGAACGCUGGCGGCAGGCUUAACACAUGCAAGUCGAGCGGGGAAGGGUAGCUUGCUACCUAACCUAGCGGCGCACGGGUGAGUAAUGCUUAGGAAUCUGCCUAUUAGUGGGGGACAACAUUCCGAAAGGAAUGCUAAUACCGCAUACGCCCUACGGGGGAAAGCAGGGGAUCUUCGGACCUUGCGCUAAUAGAUGAGCCUAAGUCAGAUUAGCUAGUUGGUGGGGUAAAGGCCUACCAAGGCGACGAUCUGUAGCGGGUCUGAGAGGAUGAUCCGCCACACUGGGACUGAGACACGGCCCAGACUCCUACGGGAGGCAGCAGUGGGGAAUAUUGGACAAUGGGCGAAAGCCUGAUCCAGCCAUGCCGCGUGUGUGAAGAAGGCCUUUUGGUUGUAAAGCACUUUAAGCGAGGAGGAGGCUACCGAGAUUAAUACUCUUGGAUAGUGGACGUUACUCGCAGAAUAAGCACCGGCUAACUCUGUGCCAGCCGCCGCCGUAAAAC